rnacentral:rRNA from 12 species
CUGGUGGCGACCGGCGCACGGGUGCGUAACGCGUAUGCAAUCUACCCUGUACUGAGGGAUAGCCCGGGGAAACUCGGAUUAAUACCUCAUAGUAUCACAGAUAGGCAUCUUGAAAUGAUUAAAGAUUUAUCGGUACAGGAUGAGCAUGCGUCUGAUUAGUUAGUUGGUGAGGUAACGGCUCACCAAGGCGACGAUCUAUAGCUGGUCUGAGAGGAUGAUCAGGCACAGUGGGACUGAG